rnacentral:rRNA from 1 species
AGUGAACGCUGGCGGUAGGCCUAACACAUGCAAGUCGAACGGCAGCACAGUAAGAGCUUGCUCUUACGGGUGGCGAGUGGCGGACGGGUGAGGAAUACAUCGGAAUCUACUUUUUCGUGGGGGAUAACGUAGGGAAACUUACGCUAAUACCGCAUACGACCUACGGGUGAAAGCAGGGGAUCUUCGGACCUUGCGCGAUUGAAUGAGCCGAUGUCGGAUUAGCUAGUUGGCGGGGUAAAGGCCCACCAAGGCGACGAUCCGUAGCUGGUCUGAGAGGAUGAUCAGCAAAACUGGAAAUGAGAAACGGACCAGAAUCCAACGGGAGGAAGCAGGGGGGAAUAUUGGAAAAUGGGCGAAAGCCUGAACCAGCCAUACCGCGGGGGUGAAGAAGGCCUUCGGGUUGUAAAGCCCUUUUGUUGGGAAAGAAAAGCAGCAGGUUAAUACCCCGCUGUUCUGACGGUACCCAAAGAAUAAGCACCGGCUAACUUCGU